rnacentral:rRNA from 1 species
GGAAAGACCCCGUGCACCUUUACUGCAGCUUCAGAGUGGUAUUAGGAAAGAGUUGUGUAGCAUAGGUGGGAGGCUUUGAAGCGACGGCGCCAGCUGUCGUGGAGCCAUAGGUGAAAUACCACCCUGCUGUUUUCUGAUAUCUAACCUCGCACCGUUAUCCGGUGUAGGGACCCUCUGUGGCGGGUAGUUUGACUGGGGCGGUCGC